rnacentral:rRNA from 1 species
UGCAUCGGAACGUGCCCGGUAGUGGGGGAUAGCCCGGCGAAAGCCGGAUUAAUACCGCAUACGCACCGAGGUGGAAAGCGGGGGACCGAAAGGCCUCGCGCUAUCGGAGCGGCCGAUGUCGGAUUAGCUUGUUGGUGGGGUAAAGGCCUACCAAGGCGACGAUCCGUACCUGGUCUGAGAGGAUGAUCAGGCACACUGGGACUGAGACACGGCCCAG